ACUCCUACGGGAGGCAGCAGUGGGGAAUCUUGGACAAUGGGGGCAACCCUGAUCCAGCCAUGCCGCGUGAGUGAUGAAGGCCUUAGGGUCGUAAAGCUCUUUCGCCUGUGAAGAUAAUGACGGUAGCAGGUAAAGAAACCCCGGCUAACUCCGUGCCAGCAGCCGCGGGUAAUACGGGAGGGGGUUAGCGUUGUUCGGAAUUACUGGGCGUAAAGCGCACGUAGGCGGAUCGGAAAGUUGGGGUGAAAUCCCGGGGCUCAACCCCGGAACGGCCUCCAAAACUAUCGGUCUAGAGUUCGAGAGAGGUGAGUGGAAUUCCGAGUGUAGAGGUGAAAUUCGUAGAUAUUCGGAGGAACACCAGUGGCGAAGGCGGCUCACUGGCUCGAUACUGACGCUGAGGUGCGAAAGUGUGGGAGCAAACAGGAUUAGAUACCCUGGUAGGACAGUG
rnacentral:rRNA from 1 species